UACGUAGGGGGCAAGCGUUGUCCGGAUUUACUGGGCGUAAAGAGCGUGUAGGCGGCCAAACAGGUCCGUUGUGAAAACUGGAGGCUCAACCUCCAGACGUCGACGGAAACCGUGUGGCUAGAGUCCGGAAGAGGAGAGUGGAAUUCCGUGGUGUAGCGGUGAAAUGCGUAGAUAUCUGGAGGAACACCGGUGGCGAAGGCGGCAUCCCUGGGACCAAAUACUG
rnacentral:rRNA from 1 species